CCUACGGGCGGCAGCAGUAGGGAAUAUUGCUCAAUGGGGGAAACCCUGAAGCAGCAACGCCGCGUGGAGGAUGCAGGUUUUCGGAUUGUAAACUCCUUUUGUUAGGGAAGAAAAUGACGGUAUCUAACGAAUAAGCACCGGCUAACUCCGUGCCAGCAGCCGCGGUAAUACGGAGGGUGCAAGCGUUACGCGGAAUCACUGGGCGUAAAGAGCUCGUAGGCGGGAUAGCAAGUCAGAUGUGAAAUCCUAUGGCUUAACCAUAGAACUGCAUUUGAGACUAUUAAUCUAGAGUAAGGGAGAGGUAAGGGGAAUUCUUGGUGUAGCGGUGAAAUGCGUAGAGAUCAGGAGGAAUACUCAUUGCGAAGGCGACCUGCUGGGACGUAACUGACGCUGAUGCGCGAAAGCGUGGGGAGCAAACAGGAUUAGAUACCCGUGUAGUC
rnacentral:rRNA from 1 species